UAUCAACACUGCAUAUAUGCAGAGACUUGUUUCGAGAGAGGAGUAAUAAAAAGGGUUAUAUUCUCAAUUUGAAGAUGUUGGCCGAAACAGAUUUCUUCAGCUGCUCUUCACAAUCACUAGCUGCUAAUGAUAUUCUUCCCUUUUCCUCUCAUCUCAUAAGCAAUGCUGAAAGAGGCGUCACUUACAGUUGUGGAUCGUGUGGAUAUGAGUUGAACCUCAACUCUUGCAAUCGGAAUACUAUAGAGUCAUUGGAUCAAAGUAUGGGAAAACAAUGAGGAGAGGGGUACUCUCAUUUUUAUGCAUUGAUAAGAGCAGAUUUACUCAGAUAAGUAAACUUAGAUGCUCACCUUAUUUUAGGUCCAAAAACUCGUGGGGUUUCUUUAAACAACAUACUAAACUUUUCUGUCGCAAUUGUAGUAGUUACAUUGGUAUUGCUCAUAUAGUAAAUACUAAUAAUAAUACAAGUGCUGCCUCUCUUGCCAAGAAAAAUAUUAAUGUGAAGUCAGGAUCAGAUGCAACACCUAAUUGGGAUGGGCUCUCAGCUUGUACAACUAAUUAUGACAUCAAGAUAUGUGCGUUAAGGCCAUCUGUUGCUUUUCUUUGACAGAGUCACUCUGCUGCUCAAGUUUUACAAGAUGGACACUUCUGCUUCUUUCUUAUACUAUAUGAUGCUUAUUAAAGAUUGUUUGUUGUAGCUCUCAAAAUGUAACUAAGUGGGCGUUUGCACAUAAGAAUUGUAAAAUUCCAAAAAAAGUGAAAAAAAAAAUCAAGGGAAAAUGAUAUUUGAAAAUUA